UACGGAGGGAGCUAGCGUUGGUCGGAAUUACUGGGCGUAAAGCGCGCGUAGGCGGCUUUGUAAGUUAGAGGUGAAAGCCCGGAGCUCAACUCCGGAACUGCCUUUAAAACUGCAUCGCUUGAAUCCAGGAGAGGUGAGUGGAAUUCCGAGUGUAGAGGUGAAAUUCGUAGAUAUUCGGAAGAACACCAGUGGCGAAGGCGGCUCACUGGACUGGUAUUGACGCUGAGGUGCGAAAGCGUGGGGAGCAAACAGG
rnacentral:rRNA from 1 species